rnacentral:sRNA from 1 species
UCGACAAAGAGGUGGACGUGCAACCUAA